rnacentral:rRNA from 1 species
AUUGAACGCUGGCGGCAGGCCUAACACAUGCAAGUCGAGCGAGCGGCGGACGGGUGUGUAACGUCUGGGAAACUGUCUGAUGGAGGGGGAUAACUAUUGGAAACGGUAGCUAAUAUCGCAUACCAUCAGAUGUGCCCAGAUGGGAUGAGCUAGUAGGUGGGGUAACGGCUCACCAAGGCGACGAUCCCUAGCUGGUCUGAGAGGAUGACCAGCCACACUGGAACUGAGACACGGUCCAGACUCCUACGGGAGGCAGCAGGGGGGAAUAUUGCACAAUGGGCGCAAGCCUGAUGCAGCCAUGCCGCGUGUAUGAAGAAGGCCUUCGGGUUGUAAAGCACUUUCAGCGGGGAGGCGUUACCCGCAGAAGAAGCACCGGCUAACUCCGUGCCAGCCGCCGCGGUAAUUC